rnacentral:rRNA from 1 species
UACGUAGGUGGCAAGCGUUGUCCGGAUUUACUGGGCGUAAAGGGCUUGUAGGCGGUUCGUUAAGUCUGGUGUGAAAUCUCCCGGCUCAACCGGGAGGGGUCAUCGGAUACUGGCGGACUAGAGACAGGUAGAGGAAAGCAGAAUUCCCGGUGUAGCGGUGAAAUGCGUAGAUAUCGGGAGGAAUACCAGUGGCGAAGGCGGCUUUCUGGGCCUGUUCUGACGCUGAGGCGCGAAGGCGUGGGGAGCGAACGGG